rnacentral:rRNA from 1 species
UACAUAGGGGGCAAGCGUUAUCCGGAAUUACUGGGUGUAAAGGGUGCGUAGGUGGUUAUGUAAGUCAGAUGUGAAACCCCGGGGCUCAACCUCGGGAAUGCAUUUGAAACUAUGUAACUAGAGUACAGGAGAGGUAAGUGGAAUUUCUAGUGUAGCGGUAAAAUGCGUAGAUAUUAGGAAGAACACCAGUGGCGAAGGCGACUUACUGGACUGAAACUGACACUGAGGCACGAAAGCGUGGGGAGCAAACAGG